rnacentral:lncRNA from 1 species
UUUCUUUUUCCUUUUAAUUUUUAUUUAAAUACCUCCUUUUAUCCAAAUAUCCCCAAAUAAUUCAUGGUUGAUAUUUUGUUUAUUAUUUAAUUUUCCCUAUUUUUAAUUUUUAAUUUUUAAUUUAUUUUAAUAUUUAUUUUGUUUUUUGUAUCUAAUUAUGUUUAAUUAACCUAGUUUUAUUUGUUAGGGUUUGAUGUUUAAUUCUCCCAUUUGAAUUUUGAUCCAAUAUUUUGUACACAUGUAGACACAUGAAUAUAUGUCAUUU